rnacentral:lncRNA from 1 species
GGCCAGAGGAGAAGCAGCAGGGCCGGCUGGAGAGCAGGAAGACCCAGGGGAGUGAGGCGUGCUAGGAGGCAAGGAAGGACUGGGAUAUACAGGGUUAAAGGGUGAUGCAAAAAUAACUGCAUUGCAUUUGGAUUCAGGCAACGCUUCUGGGUUCAGGUAAGAGAGUUCACGAUUAAGAAAUCCUGGUAAUUGUGGUUAUGUUAUUU